UGGACCAAUGAUGAGAACUGGUGGCGCAUGAGACAUGGAUGAUGAAUAAUAUGUGUCUGGAAGUCUGAGGUCCAA
ensembl:snoRNA